UACGGAGGGUCCAAGCGUUAUCCGGAAUCAUUGGGUUUAAAGGGUCCGUAGGCGGUUUUGUAAGUCAGUGGUGAAAGCCCAUCGCUCAACGGUGGAACGGCCAUUGAUACUGCAAGACUUGAAUUAUUGGGAAGUAACUAGAAUAUGUAGUGUAACGGUGAAAUGCUUAGAGAUUACAUGGAAUACCAAUUGCGAAGGCAGGUUACUACCAAUAUAUUGACGCUGAUGGGCGAAAGCGUGGGGAGCGAACAGG
rnacentral:rRNA from 1 species